AUCCCAUGAUGUGGACACUUCCGUAGCAUAUUUUUAAAUCUAUUCCAAGCUUAUCAAAAGAUUUGGAUUCUUCUUGACGAAAGAUGGAUAUGUCAUGCUUGAGCUU
rnacentral:snoRNA from 1 species